CCCAAGCUCUCUCUUGUGCCAAGGAAAUAGGGGGCAGCUUGGAGGGGAGCUGCCAAAUUCAAACCAAGUCUUGAGCUCUUUGCACUUCCAAGAUGAGCUCUUACAAAAUUAGGUUUCAUGCCACAUGCAUGAGGACCUUCUGCUUCCAACCAGGCUGGACUACCUGAGGGACAUCACUCUGGGCCUUCCGGAGCCUCUGUUUCUCAUCCUGGCAAGGGGACACAGGCAGAGGGACAGGUGUGGCAAACAGAAGAGUUGUAUUACCAGACACUGACCUUUCCUUCAGCGUGAAGAGGAAAUCAGUCAAGAGGAUCCCUUCUGUCCUUGGUGAAAAGUGCAGUAGAAGCCUUUCUCUGCAGGCCCUCCAGACAAUGCUGCUGGUAGUACUUGUGGAGCUGCCUCCCAGCAUCCCAAGGAUUCUGAAAUUUUAAAUGAGUGCUGUGAAUGCUAAAGUGGCACUCAUAAAUUAGGGGUCUCUAAACCGGGUGCUUGUGACUUGUGCAUUCACAUAUUGCAGUCAAAAAGCUAUGAAUUUUCUGAUUUUUGUCACAUUCUGAUAAGAUUAAAACCCCACAGUUACUUUUGAUCCUGCUGA